AAUAUUUUGUUGAAAACAUUUAAUUUAAGUUGCCCAGGUUUUGGUUGACUCUGUAAGUCAUUCCAUCGGAUGGAGCUGUUAAAAUACAAAACCAAUUUUUGAGAACCUUUUUCUAACCAUCGAGUUUUUUAAAAACUUAGUUUUUGUUAAAUGAUUUUUAAAGCUUUCUUAUUUUUUCGCUUUCUAUUUUUACAAUUUCUAAAGUCCUAAAUGUUACUUCAAGUGGAUUCCAUCUGAAGAUUAGAAUCGAAUCUUUGUGGCCAAAUGUUUGUACGAAAAACUAGCAUUAGUUUAAUAAAAUUUGUAAUUUUCAUUGAUCAACAAAUAUAGAAGUACAAAAAUAU